CUCUAUAGUGAAUUCUCACGCAGCGACGUUUUACAUCGACGUUGUCGGACUGUACUUCAAGUUCAGUGAGCACUCUGUCGUAAACGUCAUGCGCUUACUAGCGUUCGCAAGUGGAAGCAUCAUGACCUUGUUUGCCAUCGCUGUUCCAUUGAUGGGUACAGCCACGCAGCUCUUCCUCUCCCUGUACGCAUCGGCCUCAGGUCCGUUCGCCGGUCUCAUCCUUCUAGCCAUAUCCUCUCCC